rnacentral:tmRNA from 1 species
GGGGCUGUAACGGUUUCGACAGGUUGGCGAACGUUAUGCUGUGAUACAGGCCGAGGGGGAGUCCACCCUCGUAAAUCUAGGCUCAAAACAAAUAGAUGCAAACAACAUCAAAACCUUCUCUCGUAAAGCCGCACCAGUUGCAGCCUAAAUAACCUUUAAUCUAGGUUCGAGAGCCUCUGAUUCGACUCCGUUAACGAUCGAGGAAUAACCCCAACGGAUGCUGUUGUGCUCGUUUAUCGGGUUGGAGACCAACUUAAGAUCAAAUCCGGGAAUCCCUCCGACGGGAUAUAAUGUCGGAUUCCCGCUUCGAGGAUUAGAGAAGCUAAGCCUGUGAAUGAACAGUAUAUUAAUAUCCGAUUUGGACACGGGUUCGACUCCCGUCAGCUCCAUUA